rnacentral:rRNA from 1 species
CAGCAGCCGCGGUAAUACGAGGGGAGCUAGCGUUGUUCGGAAUUACUGGGCGUAAAGCGCGCGUAGGCGGCUUUUUAAGUCAGAGGUGAAAGCCCGGGGCUCAACCCCGGAAUUGCCUUUGAAACUGGAAAGCUAGAAUCUUGGAGAGGUCAGUGGAAUUCCGAGUGUAGAGGUGAAAUUCGUAGAUAUUCGGAAGAACACCAGUGGCGAAGGCGACUGACUGGACAAGUAUUGACGCUGAGGUGCGAAAGCGUGGGGAGCAAACAGGAUUAGAUACCCCUGUAGUCCCUGUCUCUUAUAC